AAUCAUCUAUAAAUAGAGAGGGUCUCUACUUAUGAAUGCAUAGAAAUAGCAUAGCAAACAAAUCAGAUUGAGAGAAGAGAAAAGAGAGAGAGAGGUGUGAGAAGAGAGAGAGGUCUUAUCUUCCCUUUGGCCUCUCCCCUUGUUGCCGCCCCUCUUCCUUUGGGUGUGGGGUCUCUUUGGAUGUCCCACCUUCUAGUGUGAGGUGUCACACUAGCACAUGUCAUCUUUCAAUUGAUUGAGUUGCUAAGCCAAUUGGAUUGGAGUUCAUCCUGCUUUCCUGCG
rnacentral:lncRNA from 1 species